AUUGAACGCUGGCGGCAUGCUUUACACAUGCAAGUCGAACGGUAACAGGCCGCAAGGUGCUGACGAGUGGCGAACGGGUGAGUAAUGCAUCGGAACGUGCCCAGUCGUGGGGGAUAACUACUCGAAAGAGUAGCUAAUACCGCAUACGAUCUAUGGAUGAAAGCGGGGGACCGUAAGGCCUCGCGCGAUUGGAGCGGCCGAUGUCAGAUUAGAUAGUUGGUGGGGUAAAGGCUCACCAAGCCAACGAUCUGUAGCUGGUCUGAGAGGACAACCAGCCACACUGGGACUGAGACACGGCCCAGACUCCUACGGGAGGCAGCAGUGGGGAAUUUUGGACAAUGGGCGCAAGCCUGAUCCAGCAAUGCCGCGUGCAGGAAGAAGGCCUUCGGGUUGUAAACUGCUUUUGUACGGAACGAAACGGCUCUGGUUAAUACCCGGGGCUAAUGACGGUACCGUAAGAAUAAGCACCGGCUAACUACGUG
rnacentral:rRNA from 1 species